rnacentral:rRNA from 1 species
GACGAACGCUGGCGGCGUGCUUAAUACAUGCAAGUCGAACGGAAAGGCCCUGCUUUUGUGGGGUGCUCGAGUGGCGAACGGGUGAGUAACACGUGAGUAACCUGCCCUUGACUUUGGGAUAACUUCAGGAAACUGGGGCUAAUACCGGAUAGGAGCUCCUGUUGCAUGGUGGGGGUUGGAAAGUUUCGGCGGUUGGGGAUGGACUCGCGGCUUAUCAGCUUGUUGGUGGGGUAGUGGCUUACCAAGGCUUUGACGGGUAGCCGGCCUGAGAGGGUGACCGGCCACAUUGGGACUGAGAUACGGCCCAGACUCCUACGGGAGGCAGCAGUGGGGAAUAUUGCACAAUGGGCGGAAGCCUGAUGCAGCAACGCCGCGUGCGGGAUGACGGCCUUCGGGUUGUAAACCGCUUUCGCCUGUGACGAAGCGUGAGUGACGGUAAUGGGUAAAGAAGCACCGGCUAACUACGUG